CCUUUAGAUGUUCUGGGCCGCACGCGCGCUACACUGAUGCAUUCAACAAGCCUAGCCUUGACCGAGAGGUCCGGGUAAUCUUUGAAACUGCAUCGUGAUGGGGCUAGAUUAUUGCAAUUAUUAAUCUUCAACGAGGAAUGCCUAGUAAGCGUGAUUCAUCAAAUCGCGUUGAUUACGUCCCUGCCCUUUGUACACACCGCCCGUCGCUCCUACCGAUUGAAUGUGUUGGUGAGGAGCUCGGAUUGGCAGCAGUUGGUGGUUCGCCACCGGCUAUUGCUGAGAAGUCCUCCAAACCGCCCCAUUUAGAGGAAGGAGAAGUCGUAACA
rnacentral:rRNA from 1 species